rnacentral:rRNA from 1 species
GGACCUGACUGCUAUCGGAUUGAUACUAAGCCAUGCGAGUCAUUGUAGUAAUACAAGGCAGACGGCUCAGUAACGCGUAGUCAACCUAACCUAUGGACGGGAAUAACCUCGGGAAACUGAGUAUAAUGCCCGAUAGAACAUUAUACCUGGAAUGGUUUAUGUUCCAAAUGAUUUAUCGCCGUAGGAUGGGACUGCGGCCUAUCAGUUUGUUGGUGAGGUAAUGGCCCACCAAGACUAUUACAGGUACGGGCUCUGAGAGGAGUAGCCCGGAGAUGGGUACUGAGACACGGACCCAGGCCCUAUGGGGCGCAGCAGGCGAGAAAACUUUGCAAUGUGCGAAAGCACGACAAGGUUAAUCCGAGUGGUUUCUGCUAAAGGAACCUUUUGUCGGUCCUAGAAACACCGAUGAAUAAGGGGUGGGCAAGUUCUGGUGU